rnacentral:rRNA from 1 species
UACGUAGGGUGCAGGCGUUAAUCGGAAUUACUGGGCGUAAAGCGUGCGCAGGCGGUUUGCUAAGACAGGUGUGAAAUCCCCGGGCUUAACCUGGGAAUUGCGCUUAAGACUGGACUGCUUGAGUGCGGGAGAGGUGAGUGGAAUUCCCAGUGUAGAGGUGAAAUUCGUAGAUAUUGGGAAGAACACCAGUGGCGAAGGCGGCUCACUGGCCCGCAACUGACGCUGAGGCGCGAAAGCGUGGGGAGCAAACAGG